ACUCCUACGGGAGGCAGCAGUGGGGAAUAUUGCACAAUGGGCGCAAGCCUGAUGCAGCCAUGCCGCGUGUGUGAAGAAGGCCUCGGUUGUAAAGCACUUUCAGUCGUGAGGAAGGUAGUGUAGUUAAUAGCUGCAUUAUUUGUACGUUAGCGACAGAAGAAGCACCGGCUAACUCCGUGCCAGCAGCCGCGGUAAUACGGAGGGGUGCGAGCGUUAAUCGGAAUUACUGGGCGUAAAGCGCAUGCAGGUGGUUUGUUAAGUCAGAUGUGAAAGCCCGGGGCUCAACCUCGGAAUAGCAUUUGAAACUGGCAGACUAGAGUACUGUAGAGGGGGUAGAAUUUCAGGUGUAGCGGUGAAAUGCGUAGAGAUCUGAAGGAAUACCGGUGGCGAAGGCGGCCCCCUGGACAGAUACUGACACUCAGAUGCGAAAGCGUGGGGAGCAAACAGGAUUAGAUACCCUGGUAGGAUAGCG
rnacentral:rRNA from 1 species